GUGACCCGAGCUAUGGCCCGGACCCGAUCCGAAAUAAUGACCGGGUCUAUUUUUGAGACCCUUACCCGACCCUAAACCCGAUGAAAUCACAUCAAAUUAGCCCUUAAAGUGUUCGGGAUCGGGCCGGGCCGGGUCUGUGCACCCCUACUGUAACCCAAGCAAGGGCUUUUGGCCUUUUGCUUCUUUCUCAUUCCGUCGGUGUUGUUGUGCCUCCUAAGCGUUACUGUCUUAUUGAGUGUUCCAUUUUCUUCGUCUGCCGUUGCCGACCUUUGAAGCAUUGCCACAAGCAGCGCCACCAUCCUUAGGUCUCCAUUCUCAGGUUGAAAACAUACAAAGGCUUCAAGAAGGGAGGCAAAGGAUUCUUGUGGCAACAGACUUAGUAGGAAGGAGUAUUGUCAUAGAAUGGAUUAACAUAGUUAUCAACUAUGACAUGCUAGAUUUUGCUGACACUUACCUGCAUAGGAUAAUUGUAACACCCUCUCAUCCUAAGUAUUAUCUCUAGCCGUAAAGUGAAUGAUAAUAAAGUGUCACGACAGUUUUAAAGCUCAUAUAAUACUAUCUAUAUAGAAAGAAAUAAUAGUACUAGAAGCCCGAUGAAUGAAUAAAAACUCAAAGUCGCAUAAAGCCAAAUUU